rnacentral:rRNA from 1 species
CACGGCGCACGGGUGAGUAACACGUGGGCAACCUGCCCUUCAAUGGGGGAUAACCCCGCGAAAGCGGGGCUAAUACCGCAUGAUAUUCCUGGGACUCCUGUUCCGGGACUCAAAGGCCGUAAGGUCGUUGAAGGAGGGGCCCGCGCCCGAUUAGCUUGUUGGCGAGGUGACGGCUCACCAAGGCUUUGAUCGGUAGCCGGUCUGAGAGGAUGGCCGGCCACACUGGAACUGAGACACGGUCCAGACUCCUACGGGAGGCAGCAGUGGGGAAUCUUGCGCAAUGGGCGAAAGCCUGACGCAGCGACGCCGCGUGGGGGAUGAAGCUUCUCGGAGUGUAAACCCCUUUCGACCCGGACGAAACGCCCGCAAGGGCUUGACGGUACGGGUAUAAGAAGCCCCGGCUAACUACGUGCCAGCAGCCGCGGUAAGACGUAGGGGGCCAGCGUUGCUCGGAAUUACUGGGCGUAAAGGGUUCGUAGGCGGUGUGGCAAGUCGGGAGUGAAAUCUCUGGGCUUAACUCAGAGGCUGCUUCCGAAACUGCCGUGCUAGAGUGCGGGAGAGGCGAGUGGAAUUGCAGGUGUAGCGGUGAAAUGCGUAGAUAUCUGCAGGAACACCCGUGGCGAAGGCGGCUCGCUGGACCGCAAC